GCGGCGGGAGGCCCGGGCGGGCGGCGGGCGCCUGCAGGUGGCUGUGCUCGGCGACUCGCGGCUUCUCUCUGCGGCUCCACUCGUAAAGAAUCCGCCCGCAGUGCGGGAGACCUGGGUUCGAUUCCUGGGUUGGAAGGUCCCCCGGAGAAGGGAACGGCUACCCAGAGCAGCAUUCUGGCCUGGAGAAUUCCAUGGACUGUAUGGUCCCUGCCCGCAGAGUCGGUCGGCGCUUUCACUUCCACUUCGGCCCCAGACAUUCAAGGAACAAACAGUAGCUGAGCAGCCCGGCUCUGCGGGGAACGGCCCAGGCAGGAGAGGGCCCCAGCCCCAGGAGCUCACAUGCUAGACCAUUCCAGAGUCUUAAUGGACACUUCAGGCAGCGAGCAGAGCACGCGGCAGUGGUCGGGAAGGUGGGGCCCAAGACACCCGGCUCAGGACUGAAGGGAGGGAGUGAGGAGCCAAGGGGACUUCUGGGAGGACCGCCCAGACCAGGAGAGGUGCAGAGGCUUCGCCGCCCAGCCGGGGCGGCUGCAGGGUGGGGUCAGAGGGCAAGGGCUACUGGCCAGGGUGCCAGGAGCAGCAGAGGGUGUCCCACAGCUGAGGGACAGGCCUGGCGGCUCGGAGGGCAGGGUGGAGAAGGUGGGGGGCUGGUCCAGGUCACGAGAAGUGGUCACUCGGGACACACAUGAGGUGAAGGUCGGGCACAGGAGCAGGUUUGGGGAGCUGGGGGGCUGUGACUCGGCCCGGACCCCAGGCAGCAGGUCUGGCCUGUGGACCGGACACUGCCACUCAUCAGCACGCUGGCCAUGUUUAAAGCCACGAGGCCAGUCAGGCCGCUUAGGAGGAGAGCAUGGACGGAGGCAAGUGAGGCCCGAGGCCUGGCGGGGCCGUCCCCACGCUCCCAGGCAGUCAGUCUGCCCCCCACCAGCCCCUGCUCUCUGGCCCUCCCACCAUCUCCCGAAGGCCUCGCCUCAACCCUCCCCGCUCCCCUGCACCCCAACCUUUUGAUGAACAGGUCUAAUGUCAGGAAAACACGUGACCUUAAAACAGGCCAAAGAUGGCCAGGUGUCCACUCCAGAGCGCCAUGCAGGGGUGCCCGCUGUGGUCUAAAGGCCGUUUCACAACCGCCAUCGUGGGAUGUCCACAGACCCUUAUCCUCAGAAACAUCAAACCGUGCCCCGUGGGAUGUCCACCCCUGGUGUCCUGUGGAGUUUCACCAGUUCUGAAUCCCUCUGCAAAUCCAUUUCCUGCUGCCUGUGUAGAAAUCUCCUUUGAACCCGUCGUCACAUCUUACAGGUUUCCUCACUGACUUAAGUAAAACCUCCGUGGAGUGUGCACUGGCUGAGUCUGCCUUCCUGCCGUUCCUGACCCCAACGCUCCACCCCUGCCCCAUCCCACUCCAGUAACAGCUACAUGUUAAGAAAGCGGCUACUGGGCGGCGGCCUCCUGCUUCCUCAUCUGCAGAGCUCCCUGGAGGCCGAGGACUGGCCUCGCCACUGGACCCAAGCAGGGGACACGCCUCCACCGCAGAGGCCUCGGGAUGCCAGGUAAACCCGCUGCAGGGAGGGGCCCCCGUGAACGGCAGCAGCUCCCUGACCGCGCUGCCCUGCAGUCAGCACCCCCAACUCCCACGGGCCUGCUGGCAGGGAGAGGCCCCUGAUCAGAGCCCAGGUGGGCAAGGCGGGUGGAUGACACCAUCUCCCUGUGAGAAGCCAGCUCCCGAGCCCACCCGUCCUGAGGCUGGUGGCGGGGGGACCAGACCAGGACUGCCUACCCCUGCCCUCGCCAGCGUCUGCCAUGGACCACGAGACAUCGCAGGGGCCUGGGUGUCUCUGCAAAGAGAAACCCCACCGCCUGCCCGCAGCCCCACACCUACGUGCCGGGAGCUGGCAGGGCACUGGCUAGUCCUCUGCGGUCCUGGGCUCCGCAGGAUGGAGUGGACACGGCGUUCAGGGGAUCUGCCAGAAAUCCUUUCAACCUCCUGCCGACUGUGAGACUUCUCGUAAAAGAGCCAUGCGGAGAAGAGCGCCGGGUGAGAGCGCGGCUGCCUUCAGCACGGCUCAGGGUGCUGCUUGUCGUGGGACCAGCCGUGGGACCAACGCAAGCACUGAGGGUGGUCCCCACGCCAGCAUCACGGGGGCAACGACCCCAAAGCACAGGCUUUCCAUGGACAUCACGCAGUGCGCGCUCUGUGCUCCCCAGACAGACUCAGGACGCGUGGUCACGGGCAGGACGCUGUCACCAGAGCGUCACUGAACACACAAGGGACGGCCCUCUGAGACGGGCGGCCAGAGCCCGUGCUGGUGACGGUCACAGCGCUGGCGCCGGGUGAUGAAGUCGCAAAAAUGGUACAGAAUAGUGACCGGAAAAAAACACAACUCGUGAUAAAUUGAACUUCACCUUUUUGUAAUAAAAAAUUAAAAAUU